GAGUAAUGUCUGGGAAACUGCCUGAUGGAGGGGGAUAACUACUGGAAACGGUGGCUAAUACCGCAUAACGUCGCAAGACCAAAGAGGGGGACCUUCGGGCCUCUUGCCAUCAGAUGUGCCCAGAUGGGAUUAGCUUGUUGGUGAGGUAACGGCUCACCAAGGCGACGAUCCCUAGCUGGUCUGAGAGGAUGACCAGCCACACUGGAACUGAGACACGGUCCAGACUCCUACGGGAGGCAGCAGUGGGGAAUAUUGCACAAUGGGCGCAAGCCUGAUGCAGCCAUGCCGCGUGUAUGAAGAAGGCCUUCGGGUUGUAAAGUACUUUCAGCGGGGAGGAAGGUGUUGUGGUUAAUAACCGCAGCAAUUGACGUUACCCGCAGAAGAAGCACCGGCUAACUCCGUGCCAGCAGCCGCGGUAAUACGGAGGGUGCAAGCGUUAAUCGGAAUUACUGGGCGUAAAGCGCACGCAGGCGGUCUGUCAAGUCGGAUGUGAAAUCCCCGGGCUCAACCUGGGAACUGCAUUCGAAACUGGCAGGCUUGAGUCUUGUAGAGGGGGGUAGAAUUCCAGGUGUAGCGGUGAAAUGCGUAGAGAUCUGGAGGAAUACCGGUGGCGAAGGCGGCCCCCUGGACAAAGACUGACGCUCAGGUGCGAAAGCGUGGGGAGCAAACAGGAUUAGAUACCCUGGUAGUCCACGCCGUAAACGAUGUCUACUUGGAGGUUGUGCCCUUGAGGCGUGGCUUCCGGAGCUAACGCGUUAAGUAGACCGCCUGGGGAGUACGGCCGCAAGGUUAAAACUCAAAUGAAUUGACGGGGGCCCGCACAAGCGGUGGAGCAUGUGGUUUAAUUCGAUGCAACGCGAAGAACCUUACCUGGUCUUGACAUCCACAGAAGAAUCCAGAGAUGGAUUUGUGCCUUCGGGAACUGUGAGACAGGUGCUGCAUGGCUGUCGUCAGCUCGUGUUGUGAAAUGUUGGGUUAAGUCCCGCAACGAGCGCAACCCUUAUCCUUUGUUG
rnacentral:rRNA from 1 species